GAGACAGCAGCAGCCGCGGUAAUACAGAGGGUGCGAGCGUUAAUCGGAUUUACUGGGCGUAAAGCGUGCGUAGGCGGCUUCUUAAGUCGGAUGUGAAAUCCCUGAGCUUAACUUAGGAAUUGCAUUCGAUACUGGGAAGCUAGAGUAUGGGAGAGGAUGGUAGAAUUCCAGGUGUAGCGGUGAAAUGCGUAGAGAUCUGGAGGAAUACCGAUGGCGAAGGCAGCCAUCUGGCCUAAUACUGACGCUGAGGUACGAAAGCAUGGGGAGCAAACAGGAUUAGAUACCCGUGUAGUCCCUGUCUCUUAUAC
rnacentral:rRNA from 1 species